UACGUGGGGUGCAAACGUUGCUCGGAAUUAUUGGGCGUAAAGCGCACGUAGGCGGUUUGUUAAGUCGGAUGUGAAAUCCCUCGGCUCAACUGAGGAAGUGCAUCCGAAACUGGCAGGCUUGAGUACUAAAGAGGGUCGCGGAAUUCCCGGUGUAGAGGUGAAAUUCGUAGAUAUCGGGAGGAACACCUGUGGCGAAAGCGGCUCACUGGACCACAACUGACGCUGAGGCGCGAAAGCUAGGGGAGCGAACGGG
rnacentral:rRNA from 1 species